AGAGUUUGAUCCUGGCUCAGGACGAACGCUGGCGGCGCGCCUAACACAUGCAAGUCGAACGAGAGAGAGGAAGCUUGCUUCCUCAAUCGAGUGGCGAACGGGUGAGUAACGCGUGAGGAACCUGCCUCAAAGAGGGGGACAACAGUUGGAAACGACUGCUAAUACCGCAUAAGCCCACGGGUCGGCAUCGACCAGAGGGAAAAGGAGCAAUCCGCUUUGAGAUGGCCUCGCGUCCGAUUAGCUAGUUGGUGAGGUAAUGGCCCACCAAGGCGACGAUCGGUAGCCGGACUGAGAGGUUGAACGGCCACAUUGGGACUGAGACACGGCCCAGACUCCUACGGGAGGCAGCAGUGGGGAAUAUUGCACAAUGGGGGAAACCCUGAUGCAGCGACGCCGCGUGGAGGAAGAAGGUCUUCGGAUUGUAAACUCCUGUUGUUGAGGAAGAUAAUGACGGUACUCAACAAGGAAGUGACGGCUAACUACGUGCCAGCAGCCGCGGUAAAACGUAGGUCACAAGCGUUGUCCGGAAUUACUGGGUGUAAAGGGAGCGCAGGCGGGAAGACAAGUUGGAAGUGAAAUCUAUGGGCUCAACCCAUAAACUGCUUUCAAAACUGUUUUUCUUGAGUAGUGCAGAGGUAGGCGGAAUUCCCGGUGUAGCGGUGGAAUGCGUAGAUAUCGGGAGGAACACCAGUGGCGAAGGCGGCCUACUGGGCACCAACUGACGCUGAGGCUCGAAAGUGUGGGUAGCAAACAGGAUUAGAUACCCUGGUAGUCCACACCGUAAACGAUGAUUACUAGGUGUUGGAGGAUUGACCCCUUCAGUGCCGCAGUUAACACAAUAAGUAAUCCACCUGGGGAGUACGACCGCAAGGUUGAAACUCAAAGGAAUUGACGGGGGCCCGCAC
rnacentral:rRNA from 1 species